UGCUGCUCGUUGGCAGAGGAGAGGAGAGGAGGCGAGUUGUGUGAAGACGUCAUGCAAGGAGAUACAGUGCUUGAAGGGCGUUCGUGCGCUGCUGCCUUAUUUAACCUGGAUUUUCGCUUAACAAGAUGGUGAUGGGGGUCACGGCUGCUUCUAUGUGCUGGUGCAGGAUUGGCAUUGGCGGGGAGGUGCCUGGGAGGGCCAGGAAGGCUGAAAGUACAGGUUUCCAUAAUUCGUGAGGACUUCAGUGAUCUUGUGUCCCCCCCAGAAGGCUUAGUGUCUGGAGGCCACACACACAGCACUCUGCUAAGCCAACCCAGGUUCACAGUGGCAAGGCAACGAUGGGAACAGAGGAGCAGGUGAAGGGGCAACGACUAGAGCCACGGGUGGAGGCAGUGGAGACAGGCUUGGGGGAGGUGCAGACAUCCUCCAUGCAGCUCCUGGCCAUGCUGGAAGCCCUGGAGGCCCGUGUGGAGAAGGACGUGCGUGAGGUGCGGCAGGAGGUGGCAAAGCUGGAGUACAAGAUGACUGCUGCACAGGACGACAGCAAGACUUAGCAAAGCUGUGGAAGCUAGCAGUUUUCAUGUACCAAAGUCAUCAUCAUUGUCAUUUUGUUUGUCCUUAUGUUCCCUUAUGCAUUUAAACAGUUUAUAAGACUCUCCCAAUUUUUGCAGUGAUAGACAAUCUAUUUACUAGUUAUUUAUUCUUCCCUUGUCUUCCUCUACACAUCAUCUCCAGUGAUAAAUGGCCUCUUCCUUGAUGUUCAGCCUUCACAUAUCUUCCUUUGCACACUAUCUCCAGUUAUCUUUAGUCAUCCGUAUAUCCAUGUGUACAGUAGGUGGUUGCCACAUGUUGGCCUAAUGGCUUCUUGCAGCUUCCCUUAUUUU